UCCAUCCACUUUACCAGGUUGAUGAGGACUACAUUCAGGACAAGUUUAACCUGACAGGGCUCAAUGAGCAGGUGCCUCACUACCGCCAGGCCCUUGACAUGAUCCUGGACCUGGAGCCAGAUGAGGAGCUGGAGGACAACCCCAACCAGAGUGACCUGAUAGAGCAGGCAGCAGAGAUGCUGUACGGGCUGAUCCACGCACGCUACAUCCUCACCAACAGAGGCAUCGCUCAGAUGCUGGAUAAGUACCAACAAGGGGACUUUGGCUAUUGCCCAAGAGUGUACUGUGAGAAUCAACCCAUGCUUCCUAUUGGUGAGUUUGAC